rnacentral:rRNA from 1 species
GAUGAACGCUGGCGGCGUGCCUAAUACAUGCAAGUCGAGCGAACAGACGAGGAGCUUGCUCCCCUGACGUUAGCGGCGGACGGGUGAGUAACACGUGGAUAACCUACCUAUAAGACUGGGAUAACUUCGGGAAACCGGUGCUAAUAACGGCUUAUAUAUUGAACCGCAUGGUUCAAUAGUGACAGACGGUUUUGCUUUCACUUAUAGAUGGAUCCGCGCCGCAUUAGCUAGUUGGUAAGGUAACGGCUUACCUAGGCGACGAUGCGUAGCCGACCUGAGAGGGUGAUCGGCCACACUGGAACUGAGACACGGUCCAGACUCCUACGGGAGGCAGCAGUAGGGAAUCUUCCGCAAUGGGCGAAAGCCUGACGGAGCAACGCCGCGUGAGUGAUGAAGGUCUUCGGAUCGUAAAACUCUGUUAGUAGGGAAGAACAAAUGUGUAAGUAACUAUGCACGUCUUGACGGUACCUAAUCAGAAAGCCACGGCUAACUACGUG